rnacentral:rRNA from 1 species
UACGGAGGGUGCGAACGUUACUCGGAAUCACUGGGCGUAAAGCGCGCGUAGGCGGCUUGUUAAGUGGGAUGUGAAAUCCCCGGGCUUAACCUGGGAAUUGCAUUUCAAACUGGCCGACUAGAGUACGGUAGAGGGAGGUAGAAUUUCCUGUGUAGCGGUGAAAUGCGUAGAUAUAGGAAGGAAUACCAGUGGCGAAGGCGGCCUCCUGGAUCGAUACUGACGCUGAGGCGCGAAAGCGUGGGGAGCAAACAGG